GACGAACGCUGGCGGCGUGCUUAACACAUGCAAGUCGAACGGAAAGGCCCUGCUUUUGUGGGGUGCUCGAGUGGCGAACGGGUGAGUAACACGUGAGUAACCUGCCCUUGACUUUGGGAUAACUUCAGGAAACUGGGGCUAAUACCGGAUAGGAGCUCCUGCUGCAUGGUGGGGGUUGGAAAGUUGCGGCGGUUGGGGAUGGACUCGCGGCUUAGCAGCUUGUUGGUGGGGUUGUGGCUUACCAAGGCUUGGACGGGUAGCCGGCCUGGGAGGGUGACCGGGCACAUUGGGACUGAGAUAGGGCCCAGACGGCAACGGGAGGCAGCGGUGGGGAAUUUUGCGCAAUGGGCGGAAGCCGGAUGCAGCAACGUCGCGUGCGGGAUGACGGCUUUCGGGUUGUAAACCGCUUUCGCCUGGAACGAAGCGUGAGUGACGGUAAUGGGUAAAGAAGCACCGGCUAACUACGUG
rnacentral:rRNA from 1 species